rnacentral:tRNA from 1 species
GGAGGGAUGGCCGAGUGGCUUAAGGCGGCGGUCUUGAAAACCGCAGACCGCAAGGUCCGUGGGUUCGAAUCCUACUCCCUCCGCCA